rnacentral:rRNA from 1 species
UGGGAUAUCUCCAGGUCGGGGACAGGUAGCCGGCCUGAGAGGGCGACCGGCCACACUGGGACUGAGACACGGCCCAGACUCCUACGGGAGGCAGCAGUGGGGAAUAUUGCACAAUGGGCGAAAGCCUGAUGCAGCGACGCCACGUGAGGGAUGACGGCCUUCGGGUUGUAAACCUCUUUCAGCAGGGAAGAAGCGAAAGUGACGGUACCUGCAGAAGAAGCGCCGGCUAACUACGUGCCAGCAGCCGCGGUAAUACGUAGGGCGCAAGCGUUGUCCGGAAUUAUUGGGCGUAAAGAGCUCGUAGGCGGUCUGUCGCGUCGGAUGUGAAAGCCCGGGGCUUAACCCCGGGUCUGCAUUCGAUACGGGCAGACUAGAGUGUGGUAGGGGAGAUCGGAAUUCCUGGUGUAGCGGUGAAAUGCGCAGAUAUCAGGAGGAACACCGGUGGCGAAGGCGGAUCUCUGGGCCAUUACUGACGCUGAGGAGCGAAAGCGUGGGGAGCGAACAGGAUUAGAUACCCUGGUAGUCCACGCCGUAACGGUGGGAACUAGGUGUUGGCGACAUUCCACGUCGUCGGUGCCGCAGCUACGCAUUAAGUUCCCCGCCGGGG